CCGGAAGCAUACCUAUGACGUCACCUAGUGUAGGGACCAAAGAAGAUAACAUCUUUUCGCGGAAUUUUCUUUAAUGAAGAUUUUACACUGAAAUCAUGAUUGAAAUUUAAUAAUGAAAUUGUUUUGCAUUAGAAUAGAGAUAACUGUAUUGUGUUUGAAGCUUUGCGGACGUCCAUCGGUAGUUUUACUGUCGCAAAUACCCGUUUACCUGUCUCCGCUCCGCGUCGCCAGGUAAACUAAAUUUGAGACAGUAAAACUACCGAU
rnacentral:lncRNA from 1 species